UAAAAAAAAAAUAUUACCUUAUUUUUAGUAUAGCCUUUUAAAUAAUAAGUAUAUAUAUAUAACUUUUUAUUUUUUGCACACCUAUAAAAUCUUUUAUUUUUCUAUAUUUUUAGUACUUUAUUUGGUGCAUCCCAUUUUUACCCAUUGUCCUUGUGACUAUAACCUUGAACAAGGUAUGAAUAGUAAACAUGAGCAAAUACAUAAAGUCUUUUUUUUUCUUGUUAUAAGAAAAGGAUAGUUAAAUAAUUACACUAUAAACACUAUUUUUCAAUCUAUAUAUAUAUAUAUAUAUAUAUAUAUACACGUGCGUGUGUUUUGUGUGUGUGAAUAUGCAUAUGUAAUGUUUUAUUUUAUGUAUUUUUUUUACAGGAAAACUUAAUUCUUAUUUCCUGCGCAAUUCUCUUUUUUACUUUGUCAAAGGUUUGGAUCAAAAUUAGUGUUAAUUAAAUAUUUGUUAUUUUAUGUUCAUAUAAAAAAAAUCAAAUAAAAUAACGGUCAGAAUAUACAUGCUCACGUUACAUGCAUUAGUAUGUACAUAUAUAGUUAAAUAAUUGUUCAAAUAUUUUAAUUUAUGCAGUCUCAUUGGCUUUUUUGGGCAUAUUAUCUUGAAUUUAAAGGAUAUAACACCUUUUUACAAAUUUUUAUUGCUUCAAUUUUGUUCUUUAUAUCGGAGAUGACAAUAUGUUGGGUUUUUAUGUAUAUGCAAUUUAAAGAAGAGAAGAAAAAAAAAGUGUGUUAAGAGGGCUAAUAAUAUUUUGUUUUGCAUUUCAUUUGUUCUUUUUUUUUUUGAUUUAUUUUUUUUUGUUUAUAUUUUUGAUUAUUCUUAUCAUAUAUAAAAAAAUUAAUUAUUUGCUAAACCCACUAAAUAGAAAUGUCUUUUUUUUUUUUUUUUCCUUUUUUUUUUUUUAAACAUUAUAUCCUAUUUAUUUUUUAUUAAUUUUUUUAUAACAUAGUAAAAGCAAUAAUUAAAUACAUAUAAUAUAAGAAUCAUGUUGUAUAUUUUUUUGAAUAAAAAAAAAUAUAUUUAUUUAUACA
rnacentral:lncRNA from 1 species